GGCCUCGUAGUUCAAUUUACUAGAGCGUUGGUUGUAUUAAAGCCUUCUCAUUGCUGGCGUGGGUUCAAAUCCUAUCGAGGCCA
rnacentral:tRNA from 1 species